rnacentral:rRNA from 1 species
GACGAACGCUGGCGGCGUGCUUAACACAUGCCAGUCGAACGGAAAGGCCCUGCUUUUGUGGGGUGCUCGAGUGGCGAACGGGUGAGUAACACGUGAGUACCCUGCCCUUAACUUUGGGAUAACUUCAGGAAACUGGGGCUAAUACCGGAUAGGAGCUCCUGCUGCAGGGUGGGGGUUGGAAAGUUUCGGCGGUUGGGGAUGGACUCGCGGCUUAUCAGCUUGUUGGUGGGGUAGUGGCUUACCAAGGCUUUGACGGGUAGCCGGCCUGAGAGGGUGACCGGCCACAUUGGGACUGAGAUACGGCCCAGACUCCUACGGGAGGCAGCAGUGGGGAAUAUUGCACAAUGGGCGGAAGCCUGAUGCAGCAACGCCGCGUGCGGGAUGACGGCCUUCGGGUUGUAAACCGCUUUCGCCUGUGACGAAGCGUGAGUGACGGUAAUGGGUAAAGAAGCACCGGCUAACUACGUG